UUUGACGCUGCUGCAGUCAGUUUCCAGGCAAGGGCCGAGCACAGAGGGAUUUAGUUAUGUACAACUGAUGCGGUCUGGCGGAAGAAGAAGAAGAAGAAGAAGAAGGAGGAGAAGAAAACGAAGAGAAGAGGGGGUGGGAGCUGAAACGACGGGAACAGAGUGGGAUUUUUUUGUUGUUUGGAGGAAGGAAGCUUCAGAAGUGUUGAAUAUAUAAGUUGAAAAACGUCGUUUCACAGAGCUCCGACGUCUGCCUGCGUUGCCGCUUGUGCAGCAACAAACCAGCCUCUCCUUGUUGCAGCCGAACAGUUUCUGCUGCCCAAUGAAUGGAGUUGCUUUCUGCCUUGUUGGAAUACCACCCUACUCUGAGAACCACG